UACGGAGGAUCCAAGCGUUAUCCGGAUUUAUUGGGUUUAAAGGGUGCGUAGGCGGCCUAUUAAGUCAGGGGUGAAAGACGGUAGCUUAACUAUCGCAGUGCCUUUGAUACUGAUGGGCUUGAAUGAACUAGAGGUAGGCGGAAUGUGACAAGUAGCGGUGAAAUGCAUAGAUAUGUCACAGAACACCAAUUGCGAAGGCAGCUUACUAUGGUUUUAUUGACGCUGAGGCACGAAAGCGUGGGGAUCAAACAGG
rnacentral:rRNA from 1 species